rnacentral:lncRNA from 1 species
UUGAUUUGCUAUCUUUUCCUUAAAUAUAAAUUUUUUGUACUAUUUAAUUAAAUUCAAUGGUCUACACAUUACUAAUGCAGUAAAAAGAAAAGAAAAAUUACAGCCCCAUGAAAGAGGAACCUAUGCUCCAAGUUGUGUAAGUGAAAAACAAGAAUGGGACAUAACAAAUCAUAUGCGCAAAUCAAACUUCAUACCAAACAUACCGACACAUGACGUAGGCCCAAAUUAUUAUCACAUCCCGAGUCAAAUCGGUAGCUCUACAUCCGACUCACUUUCGAUUUGCCCAUCGCCUUCGCCAUCUCUCUUAAUUCAAACUUCUUAAUCUUCCCCGUCGAAGUCUUCGGCAACUCCUCCUUGAACACCACCGUUUUAGGCACCAUGUAACGCGGCAACCUCGCUCUACAGUACUCAAUAAUCUCCUUCUCAGUUGGUUUCUUUUCCAAUUCAGCCUUCAAGCUCAAAAACGCACACGGGGUCUCCCCCCAGAACUCAUCAGGCCGAGCCACGACAGCCGCCUCGUUAACGGCCGGAUUCGUGUACAGCACCGAUUCAACCUCCACGCUGCUCAAAUUCUCUCCCCGCUUAUUAUCACAUCCUUUGAUCGAUCUUUAAUCUCUAAAUAACCGUCCGCGUGAAUCACGCCAACGUCUCCCGUGUAAAACCAACCAUCAUCCUUCAUGCACUUGCGGGUCCCGUUAGGGUCUUUGAGAUAACCAAGCAUCAUGCUUCCGCCUCUGAACACGAUUUCACCGAGCGAUGCCCCGUCGUGACUCACACUGAGUCCUGACUCGGAAUCUAUAACGUCUAUUUCGGUGAAGCAAACCGUCCUCACUCCUUGUCUCGAUUUCAUCCUCGCCCUCUCCGUCGCCGGUAACCUAUUCCACUUAUUUUUCCACGCACAUGACACGACAAGACCCGCAGUUUCCGUUAAACCAUACCCGUGGCUCACUAAGAAACCCAGUGACUCUGUUCUGAAAAGCACCGCCGCCGGUGGUGGAGCUCCGGCUGUCAAAAUAUGAACCGGGUUCCUCAACGGUUCGCUUCUGGGUAAAUUUGAUAUCAUGUUGAGCACAACUGGGGCUCCACACAUGUGUGUGACGCCGUGUUGUCGAAUCAUUAUAUAGAUAACGGCGGCGUCGAAUUUCCGUAAGCAAACGUUAGUCCCACCAACGGCCGCCAUCCCCCACGGGUAACUCCAGCCGUUAGCGUGAAACAUCGGUAGGGUCCACAAGUAUACCGGCUGUUUCGGAAUUGACCAAUCGAUUAAAGAAUCGACGGUCAUGACGAAAAUGCCACGGUGGCAAUGGACGACGCCUUUCGGAGACGACGUCGUACCGGAUGUGUAGUUUAAUAUCAUCGGGUCCCACUCGUUUUGUGGUCGGAUCCAUUUGAAAUUAGGAUCACCUUUUGUUACGAGGCUCUCGUAAGUGCAACAGAAGUUGGAAUCGACGGUCUGUGAUGAUUUGUUAUCAUUAUCGUGAUCAGUAUGAUCAGCGAUGAGGACUAACGGAGGGCAUUUGAUGUCGGACGGAAACAAAGAGAUUGCUUCGACGACAAGAUUCCGGGACUGAUAAUCUACAAGCACGAGCUUUGAUUCGCUGUGCUGCAGGAGUACGGAGAUUGUACGCGCGUCGAGGCGAGUGUUGAUGUUGUUGAGGAUGGCGCCAGUAAAAGGGAUAGCAAAGUGAGCCUCGUACAUGGCGGGGAUGUUGGGAGCGACAACGGACACAACGUGUCCUCUGGUGAUGCCGAUGGAUGAGAGGGAAGAAGCUAGCUGGAGACAUCGACGGUGAGUUUGUGACCACGUGUAGAUGAGGUUGUUGUAGAUGAUUGAGGGACAGUCGCCGUAAACGGUUGCUGCUCUUUCGAGGAAACCUAACGGCGUUAGUGGAGAUGAAUUUGCUGUGCAUGGUUUUAGCUCAUCCAUUUUAUUGUUUUUUUUUUUCCUCUCUUUUCUUUUUCUGUGUGUGCUGGAGAUGAUAAGGUUUGAGUAAGUUACUAGAAAGUUGGGAUAUAUCUCCCGCGUUCGGUGUCUGUCAAACGUAUGCGGCCAAACUUAGAAAUCUUAUAAAAGCAUAGAAAAAAAAUUAUUGGACACAAAUAUAUUAGAAAAGAGCAAAAUAAAUUAAUUCCAAGUUCUGUUGAGCAUGCGGAUUGAUAUCACUUAUCCUCUUGGGAAAUUGGAGGAUUAAUAAUUUCCUUCUGAGUGAAUGUAGCCAAUAGCCAACGGUGGAGAUUUAUCGCAUGAUUGGGAGGGUAGCGAACUGGUCACAUCAUUUUGUAAGAUGAUGUGUUUCCUUUGACUUUUAGACAGCUUGGACAGUGUUGCUUUUUGUAAAUUUUUUAAAUUUAUUUAUUAAUUUAUCCUUUCUAUUAAAUUAAUUUAUUAAUUUAUUAAUUUAUUUUUUAAAUUUAUUUAUUAAUUGAAUGGAUGUAGUUUACAUUAUCUCUUCAAAGAUUUGUGAGAUAAUUCUCGCUGAAGUAGAUAUGGCCAUACCUACUGGCUGCUGAAUCAAUGGGCAUGGCUUAAACUAAUCCGAAGGAUAGCCAGUUGGCUUUUCUCAAAGCGAUAGAUUCAUUUAGGAAGGGGUUAAUUUUGGAUUAUUCUCCACACUAUCUUAAAAUCACUCUUUUUAUUUUUAAAAAUUUUAAUUUAUCUCCUAUUUUGUUAAGAAGACAAAAAUAAAAAAAUCAUUAAUCUACCCACAUUUAUUCUCUUAUCUUUUGACUAAAUAUUAGGGUAAUUUAAGGUUUUCAAAAAAAAAUUAUUAAUAUGAAGAUAAUUAAUUUACGAAGAAAAUAAUCUCAAAUUUUCCUUUAGGAUUUGAGGAAGGGUGGGGAUGCAAUAGAACUAUAAAAAAAAAAAAAAAACUUUACUAGAAGAUAUUUUAUGAGGAGCUUUAUUGAAUAAAUGGAUAAGGUUAUAAUGACAAUUAUUUUGUCCAAACAAGAAUGUGAUUUUGACAAUGAAAAUUACAACUCUUAUCUUAUUGAUAAGACGUAAUCAGUAAGUAGAUAAUUACCUUAAAUAUAUAUAUACACACACACACACACACACACACAUAUAUAUAUAUAUAUAUAUAUAUAUAUAUAAUUGCUCAUUUACUUUUUAUAAUUUGAGUAAUUAUUCAUUUUGUCUUUAUAUUUUAAUAAAAUGACCUAAAAGGUCCAUAUUAUAUAUUUAUUUUCUUUACAAUGUAAUAACAAAGGUGUUUUAAGUUUUUUUCUUAAAACAUGAAUUGCAGGAAAUAAAUAAAUAAUUUUUUUUACCGUAGGUUCGUUUAUGGGAAAAUGACAUCCAUUUAUUUUUAAAAAUAACAUAAAAACACUUUAGUCUCUACAAACUUGUAAAGGGCCUGUUUAGAUGCGGUUAAAGACCGUGGCACUUUGUAUAUGAUUAUUUUAGUGAAAGUCAAUCCCAAUAUAAUAUUCCAUGCACAAAGUAAAUUAAGAUAACAUAGAUUGGCCCACAAGAUAAUCUUGUGAUAAUGACCUUGUAUGUUCUAAGGCUCUUAGGAUAAAUUUUUUAAACUAAAAAUUUUAUUUAUGUUAAAAACAGAGGACAAAAGGGUUAGAAGCACUAAAAAAUAACUUAAUUAUUUUUAUUUUUGAAAGGUAACUCUUCCAUAAUCUAUUAAUUCAAGUUAUUAUUUAUUAUUUAUAAUUUUUAUUAGUUUUAUUAGUUUUGGCCUUUUGGGGUCAAAUAUUAUGAUGAAGGCAAUUUGAGAUGUAAUAAAUUAUUAGGAAAAAUUAUAGAUCUCCCCCUUAUGUAUAGCGCAGAGAUACUUACACCCAAAUCCUGAGUAAUGUUAAAGAAAUAGAAAGAUAAAAGAAUUUUACUCUCUCUCUCUCUCUCUACCCAACCCACUCUCUCUCUUCUUUUUCAAUAUACUUUCUCUUAUCUUUCUGUCCCUUUAGCAUUUUUCUUAACUAAAAUGUUCAUAUUUCCCAUAACUAAUUUAAGUUUUUUUUUCGUAUUUACUAUAUUAAAAAAAAAAAAGUUAUUUCGUCUAUCAUCUUCUUAAUGACAUGAUUGCAAAUUUGGGUCCUCUACAACCUGAAACUCACCGUCUAAUAUUGGGUUCACAAUAUCCUCACCAUCUAAUUGUAAUUUGGGAGUUCCAAUAUCCUCACCAUCUAAUUGUGAUUUGGAAAUAUAAAAUGAGUAUCUGAUAAUUUGGUGUUUUGAAAUUUUUUAAGGCAAGCGUUCUUGGCCUCAUGAGGAGCGACACAGUGGAUUGAUAGUAAAUAGAUUGUACCACAGAUCUGAUUUUUGGCUAUCUAAUAUCAUCCGUCGAUUUUUGUAAAUUAUUGUCUCAUAAGCCCGUAAUCCUCCUCAUCAUCCAUAACAAUAAUGAAGGUGACGAGCAAUUAAGUGAAAGAAAAUAAAAGUUUGAAUUCUUGAAAUGUUGCAGUCCAAGUAGAAGUGUUUUCUUUUGCUUUAUCUUUAUAAUUGAUUCCAAAAGUAUAUUUUUUUAAUUUAUUUAUUAUAUAGUAUUUUAAUUUAAUGUACUUUUAUUAUACUAUCCUUUUUUUUCUUUAACGAAAUGGAGCCGUAUGUUAAUAUGAGGGGAUAAACGUGAUAUUUUGGUGUCAAAGAAUAAAUAUGCAUUUCCAUAUCACUCAGCCCUCUAGCUCUGAAUUUGUUUGAUUUCGAUAGCAAAAAAAAAAAAAAAAAAAAAAAGAGGAAAAAAAGCAAACAAAUCGUUUGCUAUGAUUGGUGAUGGUGGUCAGAUAAAGUUUGAGAUAAGAGAUAAUGUUUGCAAUCUGCAUAAAUUCCAUCCGGUCCUUCUCUUCUUUGCAUUAGUUUUAACUUUAUUUUUUUAUAUUUAUUGUGGAUCAUUUGGAAGAGAGAAAGAAGAACACGAAUGUGUUGCCGUUUUUGUCGUGGUUCUCUCGUCCUUUUGGGCAUUUACCAUUUUCCUUGAUUAAAUAAUCGAUGGCCGAAUAGAAAACGGCAGGCAAUUUUUGUGAAUUACACAGAAAAUUUAUGAAGCUGUGUUUUGCAUAUUGUUUGGUGAAUUUAUCGUGCAAGUAUGUUGUAUGUGUGAAUUGUCCAAAACACGUUUUGCAUAUUGUUUGGUGAAUUUAUCGUGCAAGUAUGUUGUAUGUGUGAAUUGUCCAAAAUAGGCACGUUAUAAUUACAAUACUACAUAAUUAUUAUUCACUUUCCAAAUUUAGCAAAGAAUACUAUUUAAUAAUUAAUUAAAAUGAAUUAUUUUUAUUUAUAUUGCAUAAUAAUUAACAUGCAAAGCAAUAUUAUUUUAUAAGUAAAAAAAGAAAAAAAAAACCGGUGAUUUUAAUGAAAACCCAGUAGUUUUGUUUCAUAAAGUGAACACGUGGCAUGCAUUCAUUGACUUCCUGUGAAAUCAGUAUGAACCAUAAAUGGAGAAGAUCCUCGGAUUUAAUAGGUCCAGUGCAGCUGUGCGACAUUGCAAUUCGAUUGACAGUAAGUCCGGUGGAAUUUAAUUGAGGUGCUCGAGAGAAUUGAUCAGCUGGAUUAGUUCUUCCAUCUAAUGCUGUUUGUAAUAAGGAGCCCUCUACGUUACGUUACGUUAGUCGUACCGUAGCACUGGUCUUGUAACAAACUAAUAAAGCAAUGGUCGACUUUUGUUGUUAAGAAAUAAGUUCAUACCUAGAGCAUUAAAUCGAAGAGUAUAUAUUGCAAAAUGCAAAGUUCCACAGACAGACUUCAUCCACCAAAAUUUAGAGUCAGUUUGAGAUUGUCUUUUAAAUGUUCAAAAGUGAUUUAUUUUGAAGAAAAAAAAAAAGAAAGUAAUUUUUGAAUGUAUGAUUUUGAGAUUAUUUUUAAACUGAAUAUAAUUUUAUAUAUAUCUUUAUAUAUAUUAUAAAAAUCUAAAAUUAACCUCAUUAAUUAGGAAAUAAGAUCAUUAAUUUUAAAGAGAUUACUAUUAUUAGUAAUUAUAUUGAAAUAAUAAAAUAAAAAAUAAAAUUAAUAAAAUAAAAAAUUUAUUUUAAUUAUCAAUUAUUAUAUAUACACAAUUAAAAAUAUUUUAUACGUAAAUAAAUUUUGUUCAAUAUUAUAUCUAAUUCAGUUAUUUAUAUUUUUACAACAGUUUAACGGCACACACGAUUGCUUUUCAAAACUGACAGCACUUUUAAAAAUAAAUUUUAUCAAACCUUUGACUAAUUUUUUUCACAAUUAAUUAUUUCUAUAACACAAUAUUUUAAAAGUUACAACUCUUAAUCCUACAGCAAUGGCUAACCUUUUGGAAGUCAGUCUUUGGAGUCAAUUCCAUCACAGGCCUCUGGUAAUUGAGAUAUAGCCAUUUGAUCAUUUUGUAGCAGCUACAAGAUACGACCAUCACAGGCCCGUCAAGGAGUUGUUGCCAUUUUAAUUUUCCUUCAGCCUGUCAUCAGGACUAUGUAUUCGAAGUAAAACUCAUCUCCGGUGUCGAGGUUUGUGAAGAUUGAUUUGAGUUGGUGGUUGUUUGAUUUGAAGUUGUGGUACUCGAACUCACCAUAUUUGGCUCGACACCAUGAAAGAAGCUAAGAAAAUGUUGUUUGGCUUAAAGGAAAAAAAUUCACAGGAAAAUGUAACUGUGAAUUCCAGAAGAUUCAUUUCUACUACAAUCUGUUACAUCCACAUAUUUAUGUAUGCUUACACGUGAUUAACAACCUGUAACUAACUCAAUUGUUCAACUAAUAAGCUAGCUAUAUUUGUUACAUACAAUUAUGCAUGGAGUAAUAAUAUAACACAAAUUCUUGUACAAAUUUAUUUUGUACAAACUGAUAUGGCGUUAAUUUAUUGGUUGAAUUAAAUAUCUCUUAGCCCACAUGAUUUAUUUAUAUUAUUUUAUAUUUUUAUUCAACCAAUGAAUUAAUGCCACAUCAAUUUGUAUAAGAGUUUGUGGCUGUAUCAUCACUCUUAUGCAUGUUAUAACAACUUUUUAACAAACUAUGCUUGAGUUGUCAUUCCCUUUUAACAACCUCUGCUGAUUUUGCAUUGCUGAGCUGUUUAAGCUUUGCUUCUUUUAGCCUCUGUGGCUUCUGUGUAAUGAGCUGCUUUAACUCUAAGUAACGUCAUAUCAGUUCAAUAAAAGUAGAAAUUGGGGAAGCCAUUUGUAUCACUGGAUAGAAAUUAACUUUUGAGAGAGAGGAAGGUAGUCGAGGUUUAAGGCGUUUGGAUAUUUUAGGCAAGAGAGUGUUGUAAACUGUUUGGGAUGUGGUUAAUGGCGAUAAGGAGAGCUCUCUUUUCUUGAAACCUCGAUAUUCUUUCACGGACAGCAGCAAAGGUUUUUCCGAAAUUUUCCCUUUGACAUGGCUUCAAAAUGGUGCUCCUGACUUGCUUUUCGGUUCUAAAUGGAUAAUUGAUCAGGGCUCAGAAAUGAAGCUAAGUUUUGAUAUAAUUACAUAUGCAAAGUUAAAAAUUGCUUAUGUAUGGCAAGAAAGCAUAAAUCACAAAUCUUUCAUUAAUGGUGAAAACUUGAAUGACAAAAUACAAGCUCACGUUUGUUUAUAUACAGAAGAGACAAGAGAAACAGCUAGCACAGGGGUAGCAGAGUAAAAGGCCAAAUAACCAUUUCUCAAACUCAGCCAAUUACAUUUAGCUUCUAGAAACGUGAUUUCUGCAUGCAUAUGUACUGGGAAUCUUCUGCAUAUCCAUUUUGCCAGCUGAGCAAAUCCAUCUCAUCUUCAACAUUCUCAUAUUGCAAUUGACUGCAGCUGAGGUGGUAUGCCAGCUUGUCAUUUGAGUCAGCUGCUAGCUUUUCACAGUCACUGAUUUCAACACCCUCUCUCAAACACAAGGUCCUGUCAGUGACAUUGAGUUUGCUUCUGAAAUGGUUGAGUUUGUAAUGUGGAAGUGGCUUAGUUAAAACAUCUGCAGUUUGGUCCUUGCUGGCAAUGUAGCUUAUUUCUAUUUCGCCUUUUAUAACUUUGUCUCUGAUGAAAUGUAGAUCAAUUUCGAAAUGCUUGGUUUUCGAGUGAUAUACAGGAUUAGCAGCUAUAGCUGCUGCACUAGUACUGUCACUUAGAAUCACAGGAACACCUUCAACCUUUAAUUUUAGCUCACUGAGCAAUGAAUUGAUCCAAGUAAUUUCGGCACUACAUAGAGCCAUAGCUCUGUAUUCAGACUCUGCAGUGGAUCUAGCAACUACACCUUGUUUCCUUGAGCUCCAAGCCACCAAGUUAUUUCCCAAGUAUACACAGUAACCACUGAUUGACCUCCUGUCAUCAGGAUCACUUGCCCAAUCUGCAUCAGUAUAGGCAGUUAUGUCAAGGUGUUCUGAUUUUCUGAAUCUUAAGCACAUGUUCAUUGUGCUCUUGAGGUAUCUCAGUAUCCUUUUGCAUGCAAUCCAAUGUGGCUGUCUAGGAUCAGACAUGUACUGGCUGAGUUUGUUAACAGAGAAAGCCAGCUCAGGUCUUGUAAGCACUGCAUAUUGUAGGCUUCCUAUGACACUUCUGUAGAGUGUAGGGUCAUGAAAUCUUGCUCCUUCACCUCUUCUUAACUUCUCAGAGGUACUGAAGGGAGUCUCUAUUCCUUUGCAGCCUGCCAUUUCUGUUCUGGUUAGCAGAUCUUGAAUAUACUUUGUUUGAGAGAGUUGAAUGGUAUCAUGGAUUCUAGCCACUUGUAUCCCGAGAAAGAAGUUCAAAUCACCAAGGUCCUUUAAGGCAAAGGUUUUGCUUAGUUUCACUACCACUUCUUCAAUAUCUUUACAAUUGCUUCCAGUGAUUAUUAUGUCAUCAACAUAGAUGAGCAUAAUAAUUAUGUCUGACUCUGUUCUUCUGAAAAAUAGUGAUGUGUCACACUUGGAAUUUUCAAAAUUCCAGGAGUGUAGAGCACCCUUCAGUUUAUCGAACCAAGCUCUGGGAGCUUGUCUUAGUCCAUACAGUGCCUUGUUCAGCUUGCAUAUGUGGUUUGGUUUAUUCUUAUCUUCAAAACCCUCAGGUUGUGGCAUAAAUACUGUUUCUGUCAGCUCACCAUUCAAGAAUGCAUUGUUGAUAUCUACUUGCCUCAGCUUCCAAUCGUUAUUUACAGCCAGAGUCAAAACAAUUCUGAUUGUUGCAGCCUUAACCACAGGACUAAAGGUUUCUUUGAAAUCAACACCUGGUGUUUGUAGAAAUCCCUUUGCAACCAGUCUGGCUUUGAACUUGUUAAUGGUGCCAUCUGGAUUCUCUUUGACUCUGUACACCCAUUUGUUUCCAACUAACUUGUAGUUUUGGCUGUUAGGUAUCAAGGUCCAGGUUUUGUUUUUCAUCAAGGCAUUGUAUUCAUCUUCCAUUGCUCUUCUCCACUUGGGUUCAUUUAAGGCUUCAGGGGUAUUGUUUGGAAGAGAGGACUGCAGUUGGGCAGAUGUCUGAAAUAGCUUUGGUUUGAAAAUUCCUGCUUUAGAUCUUGUUGUCAUAGGGUGUGAUGGACAGGUUUUUUGUUUACUAAUGUCUUGAGUAUUUGGUUCUGUGGUUGGUGAUGAAUUGUGGCUGUCUUCUGGAAUGAGUGAUGAGGAUUGGUGAGAUAAGUGUUUACCUGAUGAAAUGUCAGUCUCCAAGGUCUGUUGUGCUUCAUCUUGAACAAGAUUUUGGGUGUGAUCCAAAAUUCCAGCAGUGUCUUGAGAGUGGCUGUAUAUAGUUGCUGGUUGUGUGAGAUUGUGAAGGUCACUCACAGGGAAGGAUACAACUUGGAAACUUUCAGAAAGAGUGUUAAAGUCUCUUUUACUCAUGGACUCCUUUUUGUUGAAGGUUGGAUCAUUUGAGAAGGGAAAUGACCUUUCAUUGAACCUGACACUAGCUGAAAUGUAGAUCCUACCAGACUGACUCAUGCAUACAUAUCCUUUAUGUGCAAUGCUUACUCCUAGCAACACACAUUUGGAGGUAUGAAAAUCAAAUUUAUGUUUGUUAUAGGGUCUUAGGUAAGGAAAACACUCACAUCCAAAGACUCUGACUUGAGAGUAGUCUGGUUUGAGAGAGUACAACAAUUCAAAUGGUGUUUUGUUCUCUGUUGUAGGUGAUACCAGUCUGUUGAUGGUAAAAACAGCAUGUGUGAAGGCUUCUUGCCAGUAUUUCAAUGGCAUUUUGGCUUGAGCUAGCAAUGUAAGGCCAGUUUCCACAAUGUGCCUAUGUUUUCUUUCAAUUUUGCCAUUUUGUUCAUGCAAGUAAGGGCAAGAGUGUCUUAGAGUUAUUCCCUCUCUUUUCAGAUACGGUUCAAAGAUUCUAAAUUCUCCCCCCAUGUCUGUUUGUAGUGUUUUGAUUUUCAGGUUCAGUUGGUUCUCUAUUUGUUUUUUGAAUGUGAUGAAUGUGUCAAGGGCCUGAGACUUUGUUGUUAUGGGAAAUAGCCAUGUGUAUCUGGUUUUAUCAUCAACAAAGGAUAUGUAAUAUCUGUGUCCUUUGGUUGAGGGGAUUGGUGCUGGUCCCCAUAGGUCUGUGUGGAUUAGUUCCAAUGCUGUUUUAGUUUUGGUUUCAGUGUUCUUAAAUUGGUGCUUUGAUUGCUUUCCAUAUUGACAUGCACUACAGAAUGAAGGAAUGGCAUUUUUAUUUCUUCUCAAUUGAUUACAGGACAGCAGGGUAUUUUUCAAAGCAAUAACAUUGGGAUGUCCUAGUCUAAGGUGCCAAAGGUCAAUCUCCUCUGUAGCUUUUAAAAUGCUGCCACCUGACUCACCAGCUAUACUAGACUCAUUAACAAUAGCAGACUCAACACCAUUUGAACUGAAGGAUAACAUGGACACAGGAUCACUAAUGGAUCUUAUUGACUCAGACACUGAAAAUGCAGAUAGACAGGUAACAUUUGAAGUUUUGCUUUUGCCCAAGUGAGCAGGUAAGCACAGCAGUUCAUACAGCCCAUCUCUAGCCACUCCUUUCAUCAGGAUUUUCCCUUGCUUCUUGUCCUUGACAAAACAAACAGAUUUGUGAAACUCGACAUUAAUUUCAUUAUCAAGUAAUAAUCUGGAAAUGCUGAUAAGAUUUUUGGUGAUGUCAGGAACAUAUAGGAUGCUGUUUAGUGCAAUGUUUUUGUAUGGUUCAUAAGUGGGCAGAACAGAGCAGCCAAUAUGGGAAAUUAAGAGUUUCUUACCAUUUCCAACAGCAAGUUGGUCGUUACCUUGAUACUCUGAGCUCAUGCUGAUAUUUCCAAGUGCAUUUGUGACAUGGUUGGUGGCACCACUGUCAAGGUACCAAGCUCCACUGUUUUGACCAUCAGUUGAGGCUACAUAUGCACCUCUUGUCUCUCUUCUUCUGUGUGGCUGUGGCAUAAAGUUCUUCUUGAACCUGUGCCAGCACUCAGCAGCUGUAUGUCCCAUCUUCAAGCAAAUUUGACAUGGUCCUUUUGAGUCUGAACUGUCAUUAUUUGCUACAGCUUUGCCCUUUCCCUUAUCGUGAGGGUUUUGACCUCCUUGGUUGUUUCCAGCUCCAUUUCCAGGGUUUCUGAAGACUACUCCAGGUUGAUACUGGUUUCCAGAUCUGUCAUUGUUACCCCAGCUUCUUCUCCCAUUUCUCAUUUGUGUGUAGUUGGCCUCAAUAGCUCCUGAGCUCAAGUUAUGCUCAGUUCUAUUCUCUUGGCUGAGCAGCAUGCCGUAUACUUCAGAGAUUGAGGGGCUCUCUGGCAUGGAAUUGAUACUGGUGACUAUGGAGUCAUAUUCUGGUCCUAGCCCUGCCAGCACACACAUGACAAAGUCAUCAUCAGUCAUGUUAUUCCCUACAGCUCUAAGUUGGUUCAACAUUGAUUUCAUUUUGGAGUAAUAAUCAUGAAUGGUUAGGGAGCCCUUUUUGGUUGUUUGAAUUUGAGUUCUAAGGUGCAGUAUUCUAGCUCUAGUUCUGGCACCAAACUGAUUUGCAAGUGCUGUCCAGACCUCACACGAGGUAUAGCAAUCAACUACUGUACCCAACACUCCCUCACUCAAUGAUGACAGUAACCAACUCAGCAAAAUAUGAUCUUGUUUUUGCCAGAUUUGAUACUCAUGGUUAAGUGUGUUUAUGGUGGUUCCAUUUGGUCCUGGAUUUGUGAAAAACCUAGGUGGGCAACUGUGGCUACCAUCAACAAAACCUUCAAGCUCAUUAGCCCUGAUGCUGGAAAUCACUUGUGAUCUCCAGAGCAUAAAAUUGUUUUGAGUGAGCUUGAUAGGAGUUGUGAAGAUGUAUGUGUUGCUGGUGAUAUUUUGUGUGGGAGAUUGAUUAAUUACUGCUGAGUUUAUGGCAUUUUGCCCUGAUUCUCUAUUUUGAUUUAAGUUUUCUUCUUGAUCAUUUGGGUUUAUUUGUGAUUGAUUUGCAUUACUGCUACUGCUUGCCAUAGCUCAAACUUAGCUCUGAUACCAAGUUAAAAAUUGCUUAUGUAUGGCAAGAAAGCAUAAAUCACAAAUCUUUCAUUAAUGGUGAAAACUUGAAUGACAAAAUACAAGCUCACGUUUGUUUAUAUACAGAAGAGACAAGAGAAACAGCUAGCACAGGGGUAGCAGAGUAAAAGGCCAAAUAACCAUUUCUCAAACUCAGCCAAUUACAUUUAGCUUCUAGAAACGUGAUUUCUGCAUGCAUAUGUACUGGGAAUCUUCUGCAUAUCCAUUUUGCCAGCUGAGCAAAUCCAUCUCAUCUUCAACAUUCUCAUAUUGCAAUUGACUGCAGCUGAGGUGGUAUGCCAGCUUGUCAUUUGAGUCAGCUGCUAGCUUUUCACAGUCACUGAUUUCAACAUGCAAAAUUUUAUUGGUGCAUGCAAAAUUGUUUUUUUUUUUUUUAGUUUCUAUGUAAACUAUAGGAUACUUUCUAUUUAGAUAGCACAACUUAUAUAUACUACACCAUUGGAUCCUCACCAUUUCUCAUUCAUUCAUUUAGCUGACCUGGUAUAAGUAAGGGUAUGUUUGGAAUUGAGGUGCUGUAUCUUUUAAGGUACAACUGCUGUGGAAAAAAAACUGUAACUAUGAAAUAAAAGUUAGUAAUAUAAGUAAAUAUAAAUUUUAAAUAAUAAUUUUGAUGAAAUUAUUAAAGAUAUAAUAUAUUUUUCAUUAUACAAGUGAAAAAUUAUAUCAAUAUAUUUUUCAAACUACAGCAGCAAGUAUUUACCAAACAUUUUACUUAGUACUGUAACUUUUAAGUUACAGCUGUCCAACCUUAAUCCUAAACGCACCCUAAAUCAGUAAUAUUUAAUUUGGUUAAAAUAGUACUGAUUACGUCAUUUAAGUUUCAGAUAAUGUAAAUCAGUAAUAUUUAAUUUGGUUAAAAUAGUACUGAUUACGUCAUUUAAGUUUCAGAUAAUGUAGAAUAUCGCAUGCUACUAAUAGAUUCUCUAACGACCCUCCAACUCUGUGAAAGUACUUGCAUUAGUUGAAGAUGAUUCAGGCUUGCUUGAUGAAGAAUCUGGUCCGGUUGAUUUUCUGUCCACCAAGAACCCAGGUUGCUUUGGCUGUGGCAACACGCUGUCACUGCCCAACAUCAAAAUCACUGAGGGCAUGCUUGGCCUGUCCUCUGGAUGGUGUUGCACGCAUAAUAGGCUAAUGUGGAUGCAUCGUAUCACCUCAUCGGGAUUGCAUGAUUCUUGAUAACACGCAUCGAUCAGUUGCCAAGGCAUGCCUUUGUUCCACAAAUUCCAUGCCUACAAACAUAUGAAAACCCUUUUGUCAUUUGCGAUUUAUUAGUUUAGACUAUGUAUAUAUGCAUUUUACUUACAUGUCUUAUAACGUUAAACUUGUUAUCUGAAUUAUAAAGUCCUCUAUUCCUCUUUCCACUUACUAUCUCCAGCACUAAAAUGCCAAAGCUGAAGACAUCAGAUUUUACUGAGAAUAGUCCAUCGGUAGCAUAUUCUGGUGCCAUAUAACCACUGCAGAUGUUUAGAAAAUGUAAAUUCUCGUUGAUCAGUGGAAAUGAAUCACAAAGAGGACAAAAUAGGAAACACUUACUAUGUUCCAAUUACUCUAUUUGUACUUCCUUCUAUCUCGUCUCCACCAAAAGUUCUGGCCAAACCAAAAUCUGAAAUUUUGGGGUUCAUAUCAUGAUCAAGUAACACAUUACUGGUUUUGAGAUCUCGAUGUAUAAUCCUCAAUCUAGAAUCUUGAUGAAGGUAGAGAAGACCCCUAGCAGUCCCGCAAAUAAUACGGAAACGCAUAGACCAAUCCAAUAGCUCACGUUUUGUUUGAUCUAGAGAGAAUCAUAUUAAGGUUAAUACAAUUCCCAGCUUGGAUUUAUUUUGAAAAAAAAAAAAACACAAGGUCUGUUGAUAAAUCAGAAGAAGCGUAUAUAAUGAAAGCACAAGCUAACUGAAGCUUUUAAGGUUUUGAAUUUAGUGGGAUCCAUACCAAAAAUGAAAUAGUCCAGGCUUUUGUUCGGCAUGAAUUCAUAAAUCAACAAUUUCUCUUCUCCUUGAAUGCAGCAGCCAAGAAGCUUUACAAGAUUUCGGUGCUGUAACUUGGAAAACAAUAUAACUUCAUUCUUCAACUCGUUCAAUCCUUGCUCCGAAAUCUUCGAAAGCCUUUUCACGGCAAUUUCCUGUCCAUCCACUAGUGUGCCCUGAUAAAAUAUACAUGAAAGAAGUUAGUUACCGAGUAAUAUAUAUAUGUAACGGACUUAGAAUCAUUUCACUAGCAACUUUCAAGUUCACCUUGUAUACACGUCCAAAGCCACCUUCUCCAAGCUUGUUGUUGAUGGAAAAGUUAUCGGUGGCAUUAGCAAUUGUAGCUAACUCAAACAGUGGCAGCUCCAGGUCUUCGAUUUGAUCUUGAUUUUCUUGAUCAACUCUCCUCCUGUAUCCUGUUUUCUCCCAAAUAAUGCACAAUAUUAACUGAAAGCAACGUAUGCAGUAUGGAUACUGGACUAUCUUAAACUUUUAAUUUCCAAUUUCUUGUUCUUGAUGAGAAGGUUCUUUAUCCGGAAAACAGUAUUAAACCAAUUUAAUUCAUCCAAUAUGUAGUAAAUACAUAUAAGUAAACCUCUUAUUCCUACCAAGAAUUUAAAGUUUCAAUUACCUUGCCCCAGUUCUAAAUGAAAUGCAUUCUUAAUUCUAGGCAAUAUACAGUUGUUGGUGUAUACAGACAACUCUCUACUUGGUAAAUAAUUUUAUUGAAGACUGUCAGUGGAAAAUCAAACUCUUACAAAUAUUGAUUGAAAGCAAACCGCAGAAUAAAAAUACAAACAAAUGAAAAUAAAAUUUCGAAUGCAAAUAAAACAAUUUCAUCGCUACUCCUGCUUUCCAAAACGAAACAGCCCUCUAUAGGCUAACACCGCAGCAGUAGAAAUCAUGACCAUCAAAAUUUUCAUAAAAAAUUAAAAAGGUCAGAGGAAUAUGUUAAAUUUUAAGGAGUACUUCUCAUUAGUUUUGGCUGCACAUAGACAAAUAAGGAUAGGCUUCUUCGUCCAUAACUUCUCACCGAGAGAGUUUUCAAUAUAUAUAUAUAUAUAUGAGGUCUACAAUGUAUAUCGACUAAGAGUUUGUUUGGGAUUGAGGUGUUGUACCUUUUAAGCUACAGCUGUUGUGAAAAAAAAAUUAUAAUUGUCAAAUAAAAGUUAAUAAUAUAUAGUAAAUAUAAUUUUUUAAUAAUAAUUUUGACAAAAUUAUUAAAGAUAUAAUAAAUUUUUCAUCAUACAAGUGAAAAAUCAUAUUAAGAUAGCUUCAAAACUACAGCAGUUAGUGUUUAUCAAACAUUUUAGUGUUGUAGCUUUUAAGCUACAGCUGCCCAAUCUCAAUCUCGAACGUACCCUAAAUUUAGCAAUCACUUGGUUUUGGUUGUUUCUUUAACAAAUAUUAGGCGAAACUAUUAAAUAUAUAAUAAAAAUUAACACGGUCAGGGGAAUAUGUUACCUUUGUUCUUUGCUUUCUUCCGUGCCAUGAAGAGUAGGAGGCACAAGAUAAACAUGCCGGAAAUGAUUGAAAUUGCCACUAUGAUCUUUAAUCUUUUCUUUUUAUUCGAGUGCUUACUUGAUUCUUGACUUGAUUCUAGAACAUAAAACAUCAAGAAAAGAGAUCACUUUAUUGUUAGUCAAUUGCUGUACUCUCACUAUUCUUUUUCUAUUUUGGUUUUGCCAAAAUGAUUAAUCUCACUCUCAGGUCCUUCUGGGAAACAAACUAUUGAGUAUAAGAAUCAACUAUAUUAAUUUUAAUUCAUAUUUUAGCUAAGUACAUUAUCAAAAAGCUCAUCUAAUUUUAUUCUUCAAAUUUAUAUUGUUUUAAUCAAAUUCUUUUCUCACCAAGUUUAACUUCCUUCAGUUUUUUCAAUAAUUUAGUUAUGGUACUUCUCUUUCUUUAAGAGUGAUGAUAUUAAAAGAAAUAUAUAAAAUUAUUUUAAGAGGGAGAAGUCGCAAUUUAAUAUUGAAGGGAGAGAAUGAUAAUUACGUUUGAAUAAUAUAAUUCAAAGAGCCACUUGGAACCUAUUUUUGCUCAAGUAAAAUCUCAUUUAAAAAGUUUUUUUAGUAAUUGUCUUAAGGAAUUGUGAGCAAGUUCUAAAACAGCAGUAAAAAUGAAAUAGGUUGAAACGCUUACCUAAAUCUGAAGUCGGAACUCUAAUAAAAAUAUCCUGCCCCCAUAAGUAUUUUUCCGAACACUCUCUGGUAUCGAUCAGGUCCCCAAACCACAUCAAACAGCCGUUACCUCCUCCAACAACUUGUGAAUUUGCAUAAGCUCUGCAUGAACAGUUCUUCGUGCACUCUGCCUCGCAUUCCCUGAGACUCAUACUUUGGUUCGACCAAUAAUUUUCAGGUAGCUUCAUUUUAGGAAGCUUUAGAAAUCCUUCGCCACCCGGGCAAUCUGAUGGUUUCCUGACACAACUCCUAGAGUCUGGCGAAUCCCAGUCUUCUUGCGAUUUGGAUAUAAACCCCGUCAAGCACUCACAAGAAGGUGUCUCGCUAACUCUGCAGUUGCUAUUAGCUCCACACUCCGCAUAGUUGUCACAAUGGUCAAAUGGCCAAGAGUACAACUUAUGCCAUUUGGAGGUCGUCUCAUCCCAUACAAAACGGUGGUAUGUUCCAUUGUUCUCCAGUUGUAAUCUUGUGGUGACUGUGUCGUUGAUGGGCUUAAAUUUGUAAUAUACCUCAUCUUCUUUGUGCUCCACUAUUAGUUUGAAGACCGAGUCUUUCAUCCAGGGAAUGCCUUCGAACGUUUGACCAUUCCAUGGUCCACUUCGAGCAUGUUUUCUUGAUCCCAUGAAGGUUACCAAUUCAGGAACCGCUGUACUAUUGUCCAACCGGAAACUGACGUCUCCGGGGGUUGGAUCGUCGGCACUUCUCCAUGGUGUCAAAUAUCGCUCAAAACCAGUUUUUAAGUUCCAUCCCAGCUUCAUCUCUGGUAACAACGUGUCUGAUGGAUAAUCAAAGCUCUGCCACACGUACUCAUCAGAACUUCUGCCGACGUUGCUUCUCAGAACAAGAUUUCCAGAAUCUAGGAGCUGCGCCACUGGAUUUUGUAGCACUCUUGACGAAUUUGAAGACCAGAUGGAGCGCUUUUCUUGGUUGAGAAGCAAAAGGCUUCCGUUGUUGCUCAGAGUUAAAACUCCACUCUUGUCAGUAAUGGCGUUAUUUCGGUUUGCGACCCAUGCGACAGUGCUUGGACUUUUCUUGUACCAUAUUCCAAGAUACCUGUUGCUCGAAUUGCCUGGAGAGAAGAAGCCUAGCUCAAAACUUUGGAAAGAGGAGACUAACGUCUCACCAUCAGUGAUGGAUUCUCCUCGAGCAAUGGAAUCAGCUGCAAAUGAGAACUCAAUGAUUAAUAUGAAGGAAAAAAGGCUAAAGAAAUCGAAGGCUGGAAGGCACUUCAUUUCGGUUUCUGAGAUUAAAAAAAAUACUAAUCAUGCUGCGCCACAAGAUUCUACAAAUAUUGUGUAUUGGAAUGAGAAUCCUGGGUUCCCCAUGAAAUUGAGAAUAAAGAAUAGGAACUUAAUUCGCACGGGUUGACAAUUAAUUUCUAGUUCCUUAAAUUUACAAUUUUAUACAACUUAAAUUUAAUAAUUUCACUUUUGUACUCAAAUAUAUUAUUAUUAUUGUUGUUGUUGUUAUUAAUAUAUAAUAAGAAGAAGAAGAAGAUUAAAUCAUCAUCAUCAUCAUCAUCAUAUUAUGAUGACAUCAUCAUCAGUAUUAUUAUUAUUUUCAUCUUGUUAUUAUUGUUGUUAUUUAAUUAGUUAAUUAUUAUUGUUGUUAACAAUAAUUUUUUAAAUAAUAAUAAUCACAAUUAUUAUAAUAAAAUUUAUAUAUAAUUAACUAAAAACACUUUAGCAACUUAAAACAAUUCAUUUUAAUUCUAAUAUAAAGUGAACACAUCAAGAGAAAUACAAACCAUUUCAAUUUUAAUUCGUCUAGCUUAAGUAAACAACUUAUUAUCGUCCGAUUCUAAACUUGGUUGAAUAUCUUUUCAAGAAUAUGCGGAUUGAAAUCACUUAUCUUUUUGGGAAAUUGGAGGACUAUAAUUUCCUCUCAACAUCAGCCAACGGUGGAGAAUUAUAGCAUGAUAGAGAAUUGGUCAUAUUAUUUUGUAACACGACGUGUUUCCAUUGACGUUAAGAGUUAAGAUAGCUUUGCACAUUGUUGCUUUUUUGUGAAAAUUUUUUUUUAAUAAUAUGUAAUGUGUGUGUGUGUGUUGUUUACAGCGAAUUCAAUGGGCGUAGUUUUUUACAUUUGAACGAUUUGAGAUAAUUCAUUCAAGUAAGUUAUUGGUUAUUAAAAAUGCUGAAGAAGGAAUGGCUUAAAGCCUUAAACUAAUCCCGAAGGAUAUGUCAGUUAGCUUUACUCAAAGCGUUAGAUUCAUCUAGGAUUGGGUGUAAUAUAUAUAAGUGAAAAAUAAAAGAUAUGACUUUCCCUAUAAGAUAUUCUACAUGGAAUUUACUUGUGGCCCGUGGUCAAAGACGGUUGAAUAAACUUAAUUUGCUAAAAUUUAAUUAAAAUUGAAGAAGGGAAUUUCUAACCACAUGUCUGUUGGGCCAUUAUUGACUAAAUAAUCGAUGGUCAAGUUGAAAAGGUCAUGCAAUUUUUGUGAAUUACACAGAAAAAUUUAUGGAAGCCGUGUUUUCUUAGGAAAAAAAAAUUAUCAACAAUUUUGGUAUACCACAUGUGAACAAUAAGAAAUUCUAUACUACAUUAAAAGUGUUACACUUAAUUAAUGCAUGUAUGUUAUGGUAUUGCAUAACCCAUGAAGGAGUUGAGUUUAUGCCGGAUUGCAUUACAUCUUAAAAGCAAAAAAUAAAAAGGAAUUUUCAUCUUCUCUUCUUUCUUCCAAAUGCAUCAUGCAAUUUCUUUGUUUCCUCUCUUCCAAAUGCACGGCAGCCUCAAUCACUUCAUGGAUGAAGACGACUCUUAGUAGAUGACUAUUACACGCCUGACGAGCGUCGCUCUUUAUGGUCGGGCGAGCUAAACGCACGGCAGCCUUGGUCCACCACCAUGCCAUCAUGAUUUGCCGCGCAACAUUGUAGCUCCACCACCACUUCUCUACACGACAAUGCAGCUCCACCACAACCUCGGUUAUGGCUUAUGGCUCCCCCACCGUCGAGUCUACCCUUCGCCAUAUUAAUCACCAAGAUGAAAAUUUGAUUUUUUUAAUUUGAGUUUGAUUUUUAAUUUAGGAUUUGUUUUUUAAUGAUAGGGUUUCGUAAUGGAAUGAUUUUAUAGAAUGGGUGUUGGCAUUUUUUUUAAUGCCGACAUGCUCUUAAACCGUAGGUUUUUAAAAAAAAUAUUUUUUUAAUGAAUUAUAAAGACGUGCGGUUUAACAGAAUUAAAAUAUUGACUUUAUUAAAUCUCAUAAUUUAAAAGUGUGUCCACAUAGGGUGCCCGCACUAAAGAAUGAUUAUAUCCAUAUAUAUAAAGCUGAGACUAAAGGAGGUGAUGUGGCAUCAUUAUUUCUCAUCUUCUUGUAUUCUCUAUUAUAUAAUAAAUUGGUUGAGAUUAAAAAAUAAGUACGUUACAACAUAUAUAUAUAUAAAGCUGAGACUAAAUGAGGUGAUGUGACAUCACUAUUUCUCAUCUUCUUGUAUUCUCUAUUAUCCAAUAAAUUGGUUGAGAUUAAAAAAAUAAGUACAUUACAAAAUAUUAAAAAUAAAAAAUAAUUAUUAAAUUAUAAAAGAUUACAUGUCUCUUCAUCUUUCUAUUUAAAUUCAAUAAUAUGUAACUAUUAAUAAUAAUUAAUUAUAAGUCUUGAAACAUUCAAUUUAUUUUAUUAUGCUAACAAUUAAACUUUAGUAGCUUCAAUACAUCAAUUAAUUAAUAUAGGAAUGAAGGUUCCUUCAUCUUCCCUCAACAAUGCGAUUAUGGUCUAAUUUUAACGCCAUAAUCUCAUAUUUAAUUAUACAAUCUUUUGUUUAGUGCUUUUUGGCUUCUUCAAACUCUAUAAAUAUUAAGUAGUUAAGAUUUGUGGCAUCAUUAUUUCUCAUCUUUUUAUAUUCUCUAUUAUCUAAUAUAUUAGUUGAGAUUAAAAAAUAAUUACAUUACAAAAUAUUAAAAUAGAAAAUAAUUAUUAGAUUACAAAAGAUUACAUGUCUCUUCCUCUUUCUAUUUAAAUUCAAAAAUAUGUAACCAUUAAUAAUAAUUAAUUAUAAGUUUUGAAACAUUCAAAUAUUUUAUUAAGCCAACAACUAAACUUUAGUGGCUUAAAAUACAUCAACUAAUUAAUAUAGGAAGGAAGAUUCUUUCAUCUUCCCUCACCAAUGUCACUAGAGUCUAAUUUUAAUAAUAUAAUCCCAUAUUUAAUUAUGCAACAUUUUGUUUAGUGUCUUUUGGUUUCUUCAAACUCUAUAAAAUUAAGUAUUUAAGAUUUGUUAUGUUUGAGUUUUUUUAUUAUUUAACCAACAUCCUCUUUAGAAAUAUUCUUGUGUUUUUUUUGACUUAUUUGAAUUUUUAGUAUAGUGUGCUUCAUGGAGUACUAUUUUAUUUUUCUUCAUGAGUUGUACAAUAAUAAAGAUAGUUGGAUGAUAAGGGUCAGACUUUGUAGGAUGUGGAAGUCUGUUAAUAUCAAGAAGAAUGAAUAAUUGAUUAGUAUGAAUAUAAUUUUUAUUGAUGAAAAUGUUGUGUACACUUAACUAUACACAUUAAUUUAUAAAGUUAACAAAAAAAUUAACUUUUAUAAAUAACAUUAGUUUUAUAAGAUUGCAUCAUCUUUAAAAAAAUUUAAUUCAUAUUUUUUUAUUAGUCUCAUAAAGUGUAAAGUAAAAAAAAAAAAGAUGAUACUAAAUUUUUUUUUAGGCAAAUGCUAUGUUACAUGAAAUGUAACAUACACACUUCACAAUAACCACACAAAGUAUGUGGGUCAAUAAUUUGUGUGGUUGUUGUGGAGUGUGUAUGUUACAUUAAAUGUAACAUAGGGGCUCCCUUUUUUUUAAAGCUGCUCAAAGUACGGUUCUAUUGUCUAGUAUAUAUAUAGUUUUAAAACCUGCAGUUUCUAGAACUUUAAAAUUUUGAAUUAAAAAAUUAUAUAUAUAUAUUUGCAACUGUCAAUAAAUCGCAAUCGGUCAAUCGAAAAUUUUUUGGUCCAACAUUCAAAGUGUAAUAAAAUAUUAACAAAGAAAUAAAUGAUAAAACAAAUAAGAUACUUUUCUAAACUCCGAAGACAUUGAAGGCGAGAAGAUGUAGCUGAGGGCAAUUCUCAAGUCCCGGUCUUUUUCAUUUGAAUAUUCGUACAAUUAUUGAUUGAUUGAUCGUUUACCCGUGGGGUUAUUUUUACAUACCUCCCCUGAGGUUUCACCUAAUAUCAGUUUAAUAGAAAGUAUUUCCGUAUUUUUACAUCAUUCCCCUGCAGUUAGUAUUUCCGUCAGUUGACCGUUAGCGGACUAACAAGAGGACGGAAAUACCCUUUCAAGACUGACAGUCUUCUUUCAUCCAACAAAAACUCAAAUCCCCUGUACCACCUCACCAACAAAACCACAUCCUACCCGUCAAAAGUCAUCCAUCCACCCCCGCAAAUCAACGGCCGACGUUUGUACAAUCCUCACAGAGCCAACUGAACCUAAAACUCCACAUAUUAGUCCCUCUCUCUGCCUCCAUCCCCUGCAUAUUUUACUUUCUUUCUUGUAUUGUAAAUUACUAAAUUAAUGCCUUUCUUCUACGGUGAGAUCCCAACUUUCUGGCGAGUUUUCCGAUCGCCGGAGGAUAUUAUGAAGUGCUAAGAUCCCAUAUGUCUUCAUCCAAAGCAUAUGCCAAAAGGAAAAAAAAAUAGAUGAAUAAUGUAUUAUAAAUACUGGAUACUGUAAAUAUUGUUAUCUUUUUUUUUUUUAAUGGGUGAUUUGAGAAGCUCGAAAAAUUUUGAUCUUGAAAGAUGAACAUGAGAGCAGUGGAAGAGGAAGAAUUGGUUUCGGUAUCGGGUCAGGAACUCGAUAUACCGGCCGAUAUAGAGUGGCAAAUGUUAGACAAAUGGAAGUUUUUCUUGUGUGAAAACAUGUGUUUCAGUGGCGAGACACGAGGGUUUCAGGGCUUUGUACAGGGGAUUCGGGACUUCACUGAUGGGCACAAUCCCUGCUAGGGCGGUUUACAUGGCGGUGCUUGAGGUGACAAAGAGUAAAGUUGGCAGCUUUGCUGUUAGUGACUUAGGGUUUACUGCGGCUGCAGCGGUGGCGGUCGCUAGUGCUAUUGGUGGAUUGAGUGCUGCCAUGGCUGCUCAGCUUGUCUGGACCCUAGUUGAUGUUGUGACUCAGAGGCUUAUGGUGGCUAAUGGGGCCAAUGCUAGAUACAUAAACGGGGUUGAUAUGUUUAAGAAGAUUGUUAGAAAUGAUGGGGUUAGAGGAUUGUAUAGGGGUUUCAGGAUUUCAAUCUUGACAAAUGCACCAUCAAAUGCAGUUUGGUGGGCAUCUUAUUCUGUUGCUCAAAGGCUUGUUUGGAGUGGAGUUGGGUGUUUCUUGCGCAGGAAAUAUGAUGACCGUGAGGGUGAUAUGAUGAUGAUUAGGCCGGAUUCAAAAACUGUGAUGGCGUUUCAGGGAGUGAGUGCAGCCAUGGCUGGUGGUUUAUCGGCUUUGAUUACGAUGCCACUUGAUACGAUUAAAACGAGGUUGCAGGUUUUGGAUGGGGAUGAGAAUGGAAAGCGGGGACCGACUGUUGGGCAGACAGUGAGGAGCUUGGUUAAAGAAGGUGGUUGGAUGGCUUGUUACAGAGGGUUGGGUCCAAGGUGGGCAUCCAUGUCUAUAUCUGCAACAACUAUGAUUACUACGUACGAGUUUCUGAAACGAACCUCCGCCAAGAAUCUAGAGGUUUUGACAUGAAUGAAUAAGAAUUAGAGUAGGCUGUAAUCCUAGGCUGAUGAUAUGGAGGCAUGACUACUUGUUUGCAGAUCAAAUCAUCAAUCUUUAUUAAUCCUGUGAAAUUUUCUCGCAUCUUGUCUAUUCUUUAGCCUCCUACUCUUUCUUUCAUAGCCUGCCAAUCAGAUAUAAUCAAGGUAAAUGAUGGCAGGUGUUUUUCCAUGUAAAUGUAAAUGUAAAUAUUUUCCUCUUCUUCCACUUUAUUUGUUUCCUUUUAUUAUUUCUUAAAAUUGUGUCCAAAACUCCUACUAUUUCUUAAUAUAUCAAGUUUUGAGAGCAAAACCAAUAGGGAUCAUCUUUAUCAACAUCAAUCUACCAGAAGUUGAGUUUUUGAGAUUCCAUUAAUUAACAAUGGAUCCCACAGGAUUCCAAAGUAAAAAAUAAUCAUUAUUGAAGUGAUGCUACUCUCAUUUUCGCGAUUACCCAUACUAGUACAGUGAACUUUUUCAGUUUUUUUGAAUUUUAAAUGAGCUUUUACGAUUUUAGCCUUGUGUACUGAUGAUAUACAUAACUUUAUACUAACUGCAGGGGGGAAUGUAAAAAUACGGAGAUACUUUUUAUUAAAUUGAUUUUAGGUGAAACAUCAGGGGAGAUAUGUAAAAAUAACCCUUUACCCGUGUCAUCAUUAUCCAACUUAGAAUUAAAUGUUGGAAUUUUUGAAAUUGAUGGAUGCUGCUAGAUGUGUCUUUCCCAAUUAGCUAAAGUCAAGGCACACCAAAUAGCAUUGACCUAACGUCAAUUCUUCUGGUAGAACAAGUGUUUCCAACCAUUCCAUGAGGAAAUUCCAUGUGAAUAGGCCAAGUCAUCUCAUAAGAGAAAUCAAGUGGCCCCUGAACUCUGGUUCUUAGGUAGGAUGCCUAUUUAUGCUAUGUAUGAUUCAUUCGAUUCUUCUUAUGCUGAUUCGGUGGGUGAUUUAACUGAUCACCUUCUAUGACAUUGUCUUAGUGUAAAAUGGAUCACACGACGUUUAAUUCCUGGAGAAAUUUUAUAAUAAAAUGGCAUAAUAAUUUCAAUCUUUUAUAACUCUCGUCUCAUAGUUCGUCGUAUUAAUUCCAACAUUAAUAUAUGAUUAAACGAUUAUUGUGUAUUUUGAAAUAUUACAAUAAAAUUUCCAACAUUAAAUUUUUUUCUUUUUCAGUUCUCAUUCAAGAAAUGGAUUUAUAUUAGAGUAAUUUUAGAAGUCAAUAAUCGAAUUGAAUAUGCUCUAAUAAAAAUCAAGUCUUCUUAUUUUUAUCGUCAUCAUCCUAGCCGAACCCCAGUGCAAGAAACUCAUAGCUUCUUCGAAAUUAAUGACAGCAAUAUAAAUGAAAUGAAAUGAUAAACACCUACCAUUUAAUUUUUUAAACUGAAUAAAAUUGUAAAAACCAUGGUUCAAACACAAAUGAAAAACAACGAUUUUAACUUUCCUAUAAGCCCAUCCGUGGAGCAUAUCCUCCAGAUGAAGCUUUGAUCGUAUGCAAGAGAACCGACAGCGACUGAUGAUGCUUCCAUCUAUGGGGCAAUAUCGAAUGAAGAUUAAUAUUAAUUAUAAUUAAAUAAGGUAACGGUUGCUUUUUUCUCUGAAAUAUUAAUGAAUCCGAAUUUUUCUAAAAUAUGAAUAGGUAUGAAUAUGAAUAUGUAAAUGACAUAUUUAUUUUUCUUUUUUUAAUAUUUGAAUAUAGUGGCAAAUAAAAAUAUUUUAAACAUUGUUCUUGACAUUUAUGUCCUUGUAAAUAAAAAAAAAGAUUAGAUUUUAUAGUUUAGAAAGUAAGUAUAUUAUAUAGAGAUACUUUUAUAAUAUAAUAUUUACUUCUCAUUUAUAGUUUGUUCCAUUCAGAUAAAAGCAAAAAGUUUAUUUUUUCUAUUUAUAUGUAAAUGUCUAAAACUCGAACAUAAGUUAAAAAAAACAAGUAAAUUUAGAAAAAUCUGAAAUUGAUAAAAUUUUAAACUUCAAAUGUUGAACAAAUAAGUCCUACGUGAUUAAUUAUAAUAUAAGAUAACGCGCAUUGUAAUAAUAAAAUAUUGUACAAUAUGUGUUACAUUAAACAUGAAACAACAUUAAUGUAAUACAAUCUAGUUCAAUCACCAAACAAGAGACAAUAUUAGUGUGUUUACUUCUUUUAUGGCGGAAUUGGAAUGAAGGAAGGAGAAUGAUUUUAUUAUUUACUUGUUUAUUUUGCAUUUGGGAGUAAGAAUGAAGUUAGAGGGAUCCAUCAAAUUUAAGAAUGAGGAAUGUAAAUUCUAUUUUUACAUGGAGGUAAAAUGGGAUUCUCAUUAUUUGAAUUUACAAUUCUAUCCUCCCAUACUUUCUAAAAUUUUAAUUUUGUCUUUAUCACAAAAUCUGAUGAUAAUGAUAACAAUAUCAAUUACUAUAAUAAUAUUAAUUAUAUAAUAAUUAUUACUAUUAUAACAUUUAUAAUAAAAAUAAUUACUAUUACCACUUUAUUAUUAUCAUUAAUAAAAAAAUAGUAAUAAUAAUAAUUAAUUUACUCCAAAUGCUCAAUAUUAUAAUGAACAUUAGGUUGGUAAAACCUAGGCCCAGGUCCGCGAAUCACAAUGUCUGGACCUGACUCGGAUGUAAUUUUUAGAUACCCGAGCUCGGCCUAAAAAGCCCGUCACUGGGCCAGGUUUUUAAUCCAGGAUUUUGUACCUGAAUUUUAUAUUUCUUUUAAUGUUAAACAUGUAUACUUUUUUAGUUUUUUUUGUAAUUUUAUGAAUUUUAAAUUUAUUUAAAUGAAAUUGGACAUUAAAAUAUAAACUUUAAAUGUUUAAAACCUUACAUAUAUGUAAUAAAUGAGUCAAAUAAAUAUAAUUAUUUAAAAUAAUAUAUAUUUUAUAAUUUUUUAAUAAAAUCCGGGCUCCAGGUCAAGUCCCGGGUUUAUCAAGUGAUGCCUGGGGCUAGCUCGGCUUCAUAUUCGGGCAGGGAAUUAUCUUGCCCACAUCGCCUUUUAUUGAUUUUCUAAGUGAAAAACAUAUAAUAUUAACUAAGGGUGUUUUUGUAAAUGAUUUAUUCUGAUUAUAUGAUAAAAAUAAACACAUUAAUUGAAAUAUUGUUUAUUCUGAUUCCUACAGUUUAAGUAUAUAACUUAUUUUUAUUUUCAUUCUUCAUUUUAAUUAUUUCUCAUUCCAAUUCAUGUCUAUUAUGAGUCCCACAAAGUAAAUAUAUCAUAAAUAUAAUUUAAUCAAAUCUUACCCUAUCUUAUUGAGUCUAAUCACAUAUCAAAAGCACCCUAAAUGUGGACUUUAGGUUUUACCAUCUAAUCAUUGAUAUUGACUUCUGAAAAGAUAAAUACACUAUUAGUCUCUAAAACCUAACGCCUAGGUUUUACUCAAAUGUACACAUAGAUCUCUUAAUUUCAAAAAUUAAAAUACAUACCAUAUAUUGACUGUCAUAGCUUUUGAGUUUGGGGGAAAGGUAAUUAAAAAUUUAAUAAUAAAUGCCAAUACAAAUAAAAAGUGGCUUAAGUUUGGAAUCCGGGUUUUAAAAGAAACAUGUAUCAUUAGAUCUAAUCAAUGAUACAUAUUAGCUCUAUUAAUAAAUUUUUUUAAUUAUUUUUAAAAUAAUAUAGUCAGUUAACAAACCGAUCAAAGGGUGAUUUUAAAUUUAAAAAUGAAAAUAAUAAGAGAUAUGAUAAAAUACAACAUCUCAAGUUCUUUUAUUUUAAAUUGAAUUGUUGACAAAUUCUUUUAUUUUAAAUUGAAUUCUUGAAACAACAGGCAAGGAAGCUUCAUUGCAUAAUGUUUAAUGUGUGCAUUUUUUUUUUCCAGACAAAGAUGUUAUAUCCAUAUAUAAUUGAAAUAUAAAGUGGUUUUUGACAGUUAGAGGCUACAAUUAGUCAUGUGUCAUGGUUGCACAGUAAUAAAAGACCUAUUUAAAUGUUUGCAUAAUAGGAGAUUUGCUUUAGUAGUCGAAGAGGAGUAAUGGAUUUGAUUCCAUAGCAAAAAAUAUUUUGUGUCAAUAUCAUUAUCACAGAACCUUAGCAUUUUCUCUCUUAGUUGCUUAAGUAAUUUACUUAUAUAAUACUCUGAAUGCAUCGCUAGAUAUUGAUUGGAUGUAAUUAGUUAAUUUUCUUUAGAUUAAAAAAAUUUAUACUGACAAUUGGUUAUUGUAUUUGCUAAAUGAUAAAGCAUUUUUUAAUUGACGAAAUAUUAUUAAUAAACCGUGGAUGUACAAGUUAGUUAAAUGAAUUGAAACUUUUCAAUUAAUUAAUUAUUUUUUGUCAUUAUAUUAAAUUGUAUUAAAUGAUUGAUUAAAAUUAAAACACUUAAAUUUAAGUGUCCACAACAAUCCUACUAUGAAUAAUUGUAAAAAUACACACAGCACAUGGAUAAAUCCUAAAUGCAAAUACAAAUUAAAAAGGGCUUACGUUUGGAAUAAGGGGUUUUAAAAGAAAUUAUCGCAAUUUUCAAAUGCAUUUUAACGUGCAAACAAAGAAAUGCAGGGUUUUUUUUUUUUUUUCGAUGGGUGUUAAGGGCAGAGCCCUCCAGGUGGAGAAUACGGUCAACUAGUGGGCCUGAUCCAGCCCAUUUCCCAGUCGAAAAUUAAAAACUUUCAGAGGAAGCUUUUGCCGUUUGCUCAAAUUUUGGCGCCUUUCCAAAUCUCUUCCUCCUACUUCCCAUUGAGAGUCUCACUGAGAAAAAUUAACAUCGACCGAGUCCACCCACAACGACGUCGUUGGCAAAGCCCUUCGUCGAACAAAAUGGUGUUCCUUCACCAACAGAAGUCUUCACUCAAAAGAGACUCCUCUUCCUCUUCAAAAAGCACAUUCCCCGUUCCUCCUUCCAAAAUCCCCAAAUCCGUUGAUUCAGAAAUCGAAAAAAUGGUCUCAAUUUUAGCAGAUGCCGGUUGUACUCUAAUGUACCACUCGGGCCCACCAUGUCUCCCUUCUGAUCCUAACAAGUUCCGUCGCCACCUCACCAAUCUCCUCUCUCACGACUCCUCACUUCGCUCCCAUUUCCUCGUCGGCUUCUCUUCUUAUGUUCAGUCUCCCAAAAAUUUCACCAGGUCAAUUACUUUCUCAUUUUGUAUUUUUUUAAAUUAUUUUUUAUUCAAUUGUCUGAUUAAACGACUUCGUUUUGUUUUGAUAUCAGGGUUCUGAGCUCAUUGAGUCCUGGCAGAAGCGACAGCUUAGUUCGACAGCUUUUGCUGGUUCCGUGUAUUCAAUUAGACCUAAUGCACAUGCUUCUCGAGAAACUUCCCGAAUUUUUUGAUGUGAAUCCAGAGACACAGACAUCAUUGUCUUUUGAGGAGGACGUUGGUAGGCUUAUUAUUAGUCAAUUUCGGUGGCUUGAUUUUCUCGUUGAUCCGAAAUCCUUUACCGAGAAAUUAAUGGAAGUACUUUGUAUUUGUCCUUUACAUUUAAAGAAAGAGAUUAUUGGUUCAUUGCCCGAGAUUAUAGGUGAUCAAAGCAAUAAUAAAUCUGUUAUUGAUUCUCUCCAACAAAUGCUCAGUGAAGAUUCAGCUAUAAUUGUGCCUGUGCUUGACUCCUUUUCGAACUUGAAUUUGGAUGAUGAGCUGCAAGAACAGGUUGUUACCAUAGCAUUAUCGUGUAUUAGAACAAUUGAUGCAGAACACAUGCCGUAUUUACUUAGAUUCUUAUUGCUUUCGGCAACACAAUCAAAUGUUCGAAGAAUUAUCUCACACAUUCGUCAGCACUUAAAGUUUGUUGGAGUGUCAAAUUCUCGUGCAUCACAACAAAAUAAACUUAAGGGAAAGUCUCUUGUGGAUAAUUCGGAGGCGUCCAUUCUUGAUGCCUUGAGAUCAAGUCUUCGAUUUAAGAAUGUAAGUCUGUUUGUCUGUCCCAUAUGAUUUUAGAGAGUGUUUGCUCUUAUUUAAUGUAGCCGGUGUACUUGUGCUUUUGCCUCUCUGUGUAGAUGCUUUGUCAGGAGAUUUUAAAAGAAAUUGAUGGUCUUAAGAAACCUCAGGAUCACAAAGUUAUAGACAUAUGGCUUCUUGUGCUCAUGUAUAUGAAUGGGGAACCCCUGCGAAAGAGUGUUUCGAAGAUUUUCAAGAAGAAAGUUAUUGAAGAUUGUAUUCACAAUGUUAUGCUUGAUCAGUGCAUUCAUGGGAACAAAGAAUUGGUGCAGGUAUCUGUGACAAUUAUCUUGCAUGAAGAAAUAUUCACUUUAUAUUUACUGUUUCCUGAAUUGUUAUCAACUUACAUUCAUUCAAGCACUUUUAAAGUUUUCUAUUGAUUUUGUUAGGAUCAUUUUCCAUCAUUUCUUUCUUUGUCUGAGUACUUAUUGGCGUGCAAAGAACAAAAGGCAAGGGAGUUUGGUAUUCAUGUGUAUACUUGCUUGUUUGAAGAGUUUACUGAUACAUAUUCAAGACAGGAGGUAAGCGACCUAAAUUUUUAUUUGUCACCACUGAUGAUUAGAAUACUAGUUGGUGUUUAUGAUAAGUUGAUAUGUGGUUUAUGCAGGUUCUUGGUGCUCUAAUUACGCAUGUGGGAUCUGGUGUGAGUUUUGAAGUUAGUUCUGCUCUGGAGACAAUGGCUCUGCUGGCAUCAGAAUAUGCACGGGAAUUGAUUCCACUUUCUUCUCAUAUAAAUGGUAUCUCAAGUAUCAACCGCCUUUUCUCAUGAAUAAUUAUAAAUUUGGAAGUCAGCUUGACAUGAAAGUCCGAACACUCAGGUAUCUUGGAUUACUUGGAGGGUUAUAGUGCUCAAAAUUUGCACAAGGUGGGUUGAUAUAUUAAGGUAGUAUGGGUUGAAUUUUGUACUUGUAAAUUUCUCUAGCUCUUGUCAUAGCGCAGGUCUAUGAGGUUUUCAGCAGUCUAGCACUGUCAGCUCGAACCAGUGCACCCUGUUACAUGUACCUAAUUUUAAGCACCCCUUAAAAGACCACCAUUAGAUUACAUGUACCUAAUUUUAAGCACCCCUUCCCCACUAUUUACCAAGCACCCUAGCUUUUAGUGACCAGUCAGUCCGAAUACCAAGUUUAUAGGAAAGUCUCGCUUAAUAAUUACUAACUUCUAACAAACUACGUAUCAUGUAAAACCUGAUUUGUUUUAUGGGUUUGUCACGUGGAUCCAAUCAUCCAACUGCAGGUUAUGUAUUGUGGUUUAAUUAAUAGUAGGAGCAAUUUCUCUUGACAUGAACAUACAACUACUUAAACAAAAUAGGCUGCACUACAAUGCUGUAUUAUCAAACUCAUAGAAGUGGGGGAGAAAUGGCAAGAAGGUAUUGGAACAUCCAUUUGGAAGAGAUGAUGGAAGCAGGAAUUCAUUUUCGAAAGAUACAACAAUGUUAUGUAAGUAUAUACAUUUAAGAAGUGUAUUCUUCUAUUCCUUUCAAGAACUACCACUACAGGCAAGAAUGAAUUUACUUACGAAUUGCAGCCAGGAAAAUCAGUGCGAAUGCUUUUUUCUGCAACAACCUAAGUAUAAUACAGCAAUUAGUAAACAAAACAGAAAUACAUACAACAGCUAUAGCAUUCAUAUUAGAUUCAACUUUUAGAUAAAUGCUCUUGGUUUGGUUAUCAAACAUACUCAGUACCAUAUCCUAGCUCUGGCUUUCAUUUUAAAGUAAAGAUUAGAUGGCAAAUUCAUCAGUUACUCAAGAAAGAGAAGAAAAGAUGGAAAGAACCCUUUAAACACUACAUCCACAGUGUCGUCCAGACACAAGAAAUAAUGACCGCUAGUCAAAUGUGUCUCUUACGAAAUAAGAAAUCCACCCAGGAAACAGUUAAAAAGAGACUGAGUGAGGAAGGGAGAUCCCAAGACUACAAGCAGGACCACUGGUCAGGUGUGACUGUCAAAAUAAAAAAAAGAGAUCCACCAGGAAACGAAACAGUUGAAAGAGAGGGAGCAAGCGAGGGAGGAUGCCUAAGCAUUCAGAAUAAAUAACCAGUUUCUUUUUCCUCUUUAUUUUUUUAUUUUUAUUUUUUUUAAGAAACAAAAGAAUUUAUUAAUAAAAAUGGAAACUACCAAAAACAAAAAAUGGAUGAGCAGACCACAAAGACUCUUCUUUAUUCCAAUAUUCCAUGAUAUUUUAACUCAUAUCAAACACAAUAUGGCAGAGAUGAAAAGCAAGAAUCCAAGCUAGAUUAAAAGAAUGUAUAACCUAGAGUAAUAUCCAAAUGCCUCAAUCCCCUUUCACACCUCUACGUGUAUCUUCUCUUCUAUAACCACCUAAACCGCAAGCGAAAUGCCUACCCAAGAAAGAGAAGGAAAACAAGGUAACAAUUGUGUACCUCAAGCCAACUAACAUCAACAAGAGGUUUCUUAGCCACAAUGGCAUCGAGAAGUUCCCCUUUCACUCGCAUGUGAUGCUGAACAAGAAUGUGCGUGCACUCUUGGCAAAACUUACUAGUAAUGAAAGCACCUAUAUUACAAGAAAUUAGUUGUUAACCACAAAUUGCACAAAGCACAUGGCUUCUUAAGCAGGAGCAGAAUCUUCAUUAAAUAUUAGCGAAUACAUAGAGAAAAUUUCCUACUAAGAAAUUGCGUCUCACUAACCUAUUGAUGAAACUUUUUCUUGUAGGGGAGCAUUUACUUGGAAGGAGUCAACAAAGAGUAUGAGUGGAGCAUAACAAAACCUGCAAGAUUAACUAAAAUUUGAAACUACUCAUAACCAACAGAGUUCGACAUAACAGUUAACUAAUACAAGCAUAGGAGUCCUAAAUAAUAAAAAACAAACGAAAAUGCCCAACCCAAGUUCAAGGAAGUUACCUGUAAGUAGCAUUACCGGUUCCAAAUGAAACCAAAUCACCAUCCUUCAAGGUUGCUUCUUUAUUUGGAAAUUCAUGAACUUUUUCCUUCGACCCAAGAUUCUUAUUAAUAAAUGUUCCAUAUUUUGAGCAAUCCUUAAUCCGAACUCUGGUAGUGGAAACCUUAGAAGAUUUGUCUUGAAAGGGGUUCAAAGAAAUCAUUUCAUCAACCAAUAUCUCCGCGUGAACACGCGAAACCCCUUUGUCUUUGUUAAUAAUUAUAUCACAACCUAAAAGAAAUUUAUAAAUUUAGCCAUACAUAAUAUAUCAUAUACUCAACCAUCAGGACAAAUAUCCAAAUACAAUUAAAUAACUAAUACCUUUUCGACCCACUUUGUAAUUCCCUUUGCUGAAAAUGUAGUACUUGUCUUCACCUGUGAACAUAAAACUGAAUUAAAUUAAUUUUAAGUCGGAGUAAGAGCCUAGAAAGAAAAAAAAAUGAUGGAAAAAUGGAAGAGAAAAUUGGGGUAAAUGAUGAAAGGAACCUGGGAGAGGAUCGAUUGGAAAGAGACCCCACACCAUGAUUUCUUAUUUUCGAUGAAACAAAAACUUCUUCAGUGAUUGAAUCACCAUCAAAAGCCAAUGCAAAAUUAUACUCAGCGUUUUACGAUUUGUUUCGCGCCCUCUUCUCCUCUGGCCUCUGGGGUUUAUAAUUAUGCUUUCUUCCCAAACCUGGGCUAUAAACAUAAUUUUAAAAAAAAAAUUGUCAUUUAUAUACAAUUAUUUAUUCAUCUAAUCAUUUUUUAGGAUAUAUUCGUCACCAUGGGCCGAACUUGUAUAAUGAGUGGGCCAAACACCCCAGAGCCCACUUCCACUGCACAGCCCCAAACCGUGAAUAGACCUAUUAACACUCCUGUAGUCUCCAUUUAAACCUUCUUUUCAUGUCGAGACCUACUUUAAUUCUAAAAUUAUCCUUUUCUUUCACUAAUAAAAACUCAUACCUGAUAAAAUAAUAAAAAGGAAUGAUAUAUCAGUAUAAUCAUAUUGAUUAGAAUGUAAAGUGUUCAUGAGAAAAUUAUAUAUAUAUAAGAAAAAUAUUAUUGUGGUUUUGUAAGUAUAAAGAGUGAAACUUACAUAGAGAGAAAAUCUAAGGUUUAAUCAAAUUUAUUUUAUCCAUUGAUGUAUCAUGUAAUUGUGAUUGGAGCAGAGGUUUUAUAGACCCACUCCAAAUCAUAACCAAUGGUCCAGCCCAAUUUGAGUUGUGUCGUCCAAUAAUAGGCUUUCGAAAUGUAUGGUGUUUUUAACACCCCUUAAAAAUUCUCGUAACACCCCCUUCAAAUUUUUAUUUCCUAUGAUACUCCAUUUAAUUUAUAAAACAUAAACCUAUAUAUCAAAAUUAACCAUCCUCCAAUAAAAUUUCACCUUAAAAAAAUAUUUUUUAAUAUUUUUUAUAAAUAAAUAGAGAUGCUAAAAUCUUUAAUUAUAAAUAGAUGAUUAAUAUCUCCAUAACUGAAAAAUCUUAUAAUUAAAAAAAAAUUCAAUUAAAGUUUAAAAUAUUAAUGGGAUUGGUAUAAAAAAAUUUACUAAAAGAAUAUUUAUUUAAGUGUUAAUUUAAUCCCCUCAAUUUAUCUCACCAUCCCCCACAUUUCAAUUAAUUUUUUUUUAGAAUUGUUCUUAUUGAAAAUAAAAAAUAAAAAAAUAAAUUUUUAAUAAGAAUAAUUAUAAAGAGUAAGAAAAUAAAUUAAAAAGUGGGUGCGAUGAUAUAAUUUGAGGAGGUCAAAUAUUCUUAUACUUAUUUUAAUGCGUCGGGUCGGAUCGGGUGAAAUUUUUCUGGGCGAAUUUCUUUAUGUUGAAACGUUUGAUUCUUGAGUGAGCUUACAGUUUACACAGAGCUCGGGUUAGCAGCCCGUACGAUCGGGACUUUAGGAGGGCUGUUUUUUGGGUUUGAUGGAAUCGAAGAAUUAUGUAAUGGUUGAUGUAAGUAAAGUCCAACCGUGAGGGUACCUCUGACGCCCAAAUACACAUCAUUAUUUUUCAUAUUCUUAGGUAAACUGUUUCAUAUGAAAUCGGAAGGUAAUGCUCCUUUAAAAUAAUAAUUGUUCAUUUAUAGUUCUUUAGUCAAAAACUUGAUCAUCUGAAUUCUCUUCAUAAAAAUUACGUAAGUUUUUUUUUUUUAAUUUUCCGUUCCAACUUAAUACAACUUAAUUACCAAUGGACACUUGAAUUGUUUACUCUUAAAAAUUUUCACAUUUAGAAUAACAAUCAUAUUGCUAUUAAAUAAAAUUAUAACUACUUAAAAAUCACUAGCCACUUUUAUUGAGAUAGAUUUAUAAUAUCAAAUUCUACUCUUGCCUGCCAUUAUAAUGAAUGAAAUUUCAAUAAUACUCGUGGCGGGCCAUUAUUUUUUUUUUUAAAUGUAUUUUACUCCCCUUCUAAAAGAGUAAAAUAAAAAAAAAAUUAGACAGUUUUUUUUACAUAAUAAAAUACUUGUAAUUUAGUUAUAAGAGUGCUUUUUAGUUACUUUGGAGACUUGGUUCAAAUCUCAAUAGCGAUAUAAUUUUACUUCUUUAGAUAUUUAGUUCUCAAAAACUUAAAUUCUAUUAUUUUCUCUUAAAUUUAAAAAAAUAAUAUUAAUAAAUUAUUUAUUUUUAAAUAUUGGACCUCAUUAUGAACAUUAAAAUAAAAAAUUUUAAACUAAACCUCCCUAAUUUAAGUAUCUAAACUCAUUAUAUUAUUUUUAAAUAUUAUUAUUAUUAUUAGUAUGCUGUUACAUUAUCAUAAUAUUAUUAUUUGAUAAUUCAUCAUUAAUGAUCACCUUAACAACUACCGAAGUGAAAAUAGUAGGGUCCAAAAACAUCCAAUUAAUGAAGCAUGAAUGUCCAAGAAAACAUCAAUUUUAAUUUCAGAUUGAUGUUGCGUCCAAGUUUGUCGUUUUGACUUUUGAUUGCAAUUUGCAAAACUUUUUUUUUGUCACUUUCAGUUUUUAUUAUAUGGAUCCAACUAUAUUAAAAUGGUGGUACUACACCACUUUUUUUUUUCUUUAUUUCUGUGACAACACUGGUUUAACAUAACUGAACUUGUAUUAUACUUUUCUUUUUUUGAUAACUAUCAAAAUUAUGAAAAUUUUACACUAAGACAUUAGAUUCUUUCAUGAUCUGAAUUUAUUUGAGUUUUAAAAAAUUUUCAGUAUUUUUAUUUAUUUAUAGUCAACAUUUACUUCUUUAUUUUGUAAUAACUAAUAAGUACCAAUCUUCUUGUAUGUGUACAUUUUUAUCCAUGUAUGAUUAAUAUUUACUUCUUUAUUUUAUUUAUAUUUAAUAACUAUCAAUUACAUGAAUGCAUUUAUUUAGAUAAAAACUCAAAUUAUGAAGGAAUCCUAAUCUGACAUGUUCACCUCAAACUUAUAAGAUUUCUCUGUUAAGAAUUGAUAACGACGUUAUUGUUUACCCUUUGAUUUAAGCAUUUUAAUAUCUACAAUUCAUUUAACUUAGUAAAUAAAAAUUAAUUAAUUUAAAACUAAUAAAUAAACUUUAGGUUGCAAGUAAAUGUAAAUGUAAAUGUAAUUUUUAUUUUUAAUUAAUUGAUAAAAGAAAAAUUUCUAUGAUAUUGGGAUAAAAAUCCUACAAUUAAUAACGAGAUUAUUAUCAAUCAUUGGAUUUAAAUAGUAGAAUCUUCACCCAUAAUUUAAUUUUAAUGGAUAAGUAAUUAUGUAACAAGUAAUUUACAAGUUGUAUUUUUUCAUACUUUAAAUUAUUUUUAUCUAAUCAACUGAUAGAUAUUUUCAAGUCGCCAAAAAAUAAAAAAAUACAAACAAUUUUGAAAUUAAAAUGUUAUGUACUGUGUGUAGUUUUACAAUUUUACAUUUUUUUCUUUUACAUUUAGUACUAGAAAUGUAAUGACAUUGACAUAAAUGUAAUUAGCUGGUAAAAUUAUUUCAAUAAUACUUAUAUAAAGAUAUUACAUAAGGACUUAUAUAAUAAUUUAUAUUGUAUGAAUUAAAUUACAAUACCAUUAGUACUUGAACAAUAAUGAUCAUAGAAGGCAAUUUAAUAAAUUAUUUGAUAUAUAAUAUUAAUGACACUGUACGAGUCUAACAACAAAUGAGAAAUACUUUUAUCAACAACUAUAAUUGAAAAAUAUAUGUAUGCAUAUGACAACAUGAUGACUUGAAUAAAUAUUUUUAGAGUUAAGUUAUUUGAACUUUAAUUUUUGACACAAAGCUGAAAUUAUUGAUUUCAUGCAAUUUAAUUGAUGUGGAUGAUUUAACAUCAUAAAAUGGCUUUCAAUAUAAACCAUUAGAUUGUGAAAGAUUAAUAGCUCGUAUUUUGGGUCAAAAUUUAAGUUAAGAAAUCCCAAACCAUGAUUUUAUAAUGAAAAUAUAAAAAUAAAUGCAUUAUUUUUUUCCAUUAAGUUCCGUGAAUAUUGAUGGAGAUAAUAUUUUAUUUAUUAUCACCAUCAAUUACCACUAUAAAAGUAAUGAGUCUUAGUGACAUAAAUUUUUUUAACCACAAUUACUGAAUAUCAGCAAAAUAAACUUUAAUGAUUCAUAAACUAAAGUUAAUUUAGAAAAUAUGUUAGAUUUAACUUUUAUGAAAUCAACAAAGUGAUAUUGGAAAAUAAAAUCAAAAUAGACUUGUGAAACUAAAUUUUUUUACGAGUCAUGGAUAGUCUCCAACCAUGUAAGAUUAUUGAUUGUAACAUAAACCAUAAUUUUAUGGCAUAGGUAAGCUCUAUGGGUGUUAAAAAUAAUAUACAGUUCAUGAUCAAUUAUACAAUGAUCCUUAAUGGUAUAUAAAAUAGUGGGUGUUUUAAUAUAUUAUAUUAAAUUCCAUUAAAAUUUGUGUGAUCAAAUAUUUUUUAUGUUACAAACAAUCUCAUCCCAUAAUUUUAUUGAUGCAAUUUAUGACAAUCACUUAAAUGUAUAUAUUUAGGUACAUCAUUUAUUGGAGUUGACAUAAUGAAUUUUAUAAUUACAAAUUAUUUAUUUAGUUUGUGUUACAUAAUCUAUUAGAUAUGAUAUUUUUUUUUAAUGGUAAUAAAUUUUGAAACUUUUUUUUAAAGAAAAAUAAUAACAUUACAAAUUUAAAAGAGGAUUAAAAAAUAAUUUUAAAUAAAAUAUAUUAUUUGAGUAAAAUUAUUUUAAACUCUAAGAGCGAUCAAUAUUAUUUUAUAAAAAUUCUCCACUCCUUAAACAAUUUGAUUAUCUAUUUUUUCCUUAAAUAUAAAUUUUUUGUACUAUUUAAUUAAAUUCAAUGGUCUACACAUUACUAAUGCAGUAAAAGGAAAAAAAAAAUUACAGCCCCAUGAAAGAGGAACCUAUGCUCCAAGUUGUGUAAGUGAAAAACAAGAAUGGGACAUAACAAAUCACAUGCGCAAAUCAAACUUCAUACCAAACAUACCGACACAUGACAUAGGCCCAAAUUAUUAUCACAUCCCGAGUCAAAUCGGUGGCUCUACAUCCGACUCACUUUCGAUUUGCCCAUCGCCUUCGCCAUCUCUCUUAAUUCAAACUUCUUAAUCUUCCCCGUCGAAGUCUUCGGCAACUCCUCCUUGAACACCACCGUUUUAGGCACC